rnacentral:rRNA from 1 species
AACGUAGGAGGCAAGCGUUAUCCGGAGUAACUGGGCGUAAAGGGCGAGUAGGUGGUUUUGUAAGUUGGUUAUGAAAGCUCCUGGCUAAACUGGGAGAGGUUGACCAAGACUGCAAGACUUGAGUGGAGAAGAGGUAAACGGAAUUCCGCGUGUAGUGGUGAAAUGCGUAGAGAUGCGGAAGAACACCAGUGGCGAAGGCGGUUUACUGGUCUCCAACUGACACUGAACCGCGAAAGCAUGGGUAGCGAACGGG